rnacentral:lncRNA from 1 species
UUAACCACAGCUCGAAAAGCACGUUCACCUAGAUCCAAAUUAGCCACUGGUUCUGGGCUGUGGCCGACAAGUCUUUUUGAGAUCCGACGACCAGGUGUAAUUGACUUCUUAUUUCUGGAUCUUCUCGACUGCUUAGGUGUUUCUUCAUUAAUAUGUUUUUCCUGCUCAUUUUCUGGUAAUUGCUGCCCUGGGAAUAGAUCUGACAGAGGAGUUGAAACAGCUCGACUUUUUGUUUCUGGAUCUUCUCGACUGCUUAGCUUUUUCUUUAUUAAUAUGUUUUUCCUGCUCGUUUUCUGGCAAUUGCUGCUCUGGGAGUAGAUCUGACAGAGGAGUUGAAACAGCCGAUAGCCUUUCAGCAACCACACUUUCAGCAGUUAUGACUUUUGUGUCUGCAUUU